rnacentral:pre_miRNA from 1 species
UAUUGAGUUGGCCCAAAAGUUCGUUCAGAUUUUUCCAUAACAUCUUACGGAAAAACCCAAACAAACUAUUUUGCCAACCCAAUA